rnacentral:rRNA from 1 species
GGACUACUGGGGUUUCUAAUCCUGUUUGCUCCCCACGCUUUCGCGUCUCAGCGUCAAGACCGGCCCAGAAGGCCGCCUUCGCCACCGGUAUUCCUCCAAAUAUCUACGAAUUUCACCUCUACACUUGGAAUUCCACCUUCCUCUACCGUCUUCUAGCCAGUUAGUUUCGAAUGCACUUCCUCGGUUGAGCCCAGGGAUUUCACACUCGACUUAACCAACCGCCUACACGCGCUUUACGCCCAAUGAUUCCGAACAACGCUAGCACCCUACGUAUUACCGCGGCUGCUGGCAC